UUUAUACAAUAGACUUAUUCUAUAUGAAAAACACACUUGCUUUUAAUAUCUAUUGGUACCUUUACUUUGUAUAAACCAUCACAUUGAUCAUUGCUUUCUUAAGUUAGUAUUGUGAGCGCCGUCGACGACAUUUGACCAUUGAACAUUUGACAUUUCUUUAAAAUGCCAUUUCUCUCCUCCAUUUACCUUCAAUUUUGGUAACUACAAAUUCUUUGACCAUUUUCAAGUAACCAAAAAUUCCACUCCUCUUUUAAAUGGCAUCGCCGGUAAUUGUCUCCGACGAGCCACUCACUCCUGCCGGCAGGCUAUUUCUCCAGCCGGAAAUGAAAACCAUAAUCCACUGUUCACUUGGCUUUAAAUACCGCAUCGACAUAGACGAAAUAAAAUCCACCAUAAAGAAUUCUCUCAUGGUGAAGCACCCAAGAUUCUGCAGUCUCCUUGUGCGUGACAAGAAUGGAUUCGAGCACUGGAGAAGAACAGAGAUCGACAUCGAUCGACACAUCAUACUUGUCGACGAAAACUCCACCACCGACGGCGGCGAUGAUGUUGAUAAAAUAUUGAACGAUCAUAUAGCAGAUUUAUCAGUAAGUAGCCCGCUUAGCUGCGACAAGCCUUUGUGGGAAAUACAUAUCAUGAUGGAGAAGAAGUGUGCGAUAUUCAGGAUUCAUCACGCUCUCGGAGAUGGGAUCUCGCUGAUGUCGAUGUUGCUGGCUAGUUGCAGGAAGGCGGAGGAUCCAUCGGCGGUGCCCACCUUGAUGACUGGUAGCCGGAGGGAUUGGAGAGAAGGGAAAGGGAAGGAUUGGAGAGGGGUUUUGAUGGGGGUUUUGAAGAUGGUUUUGUUUAGUUUAGUUUUCUGUUUGGAGUUUAUUUUGAGGUGUUUGUGGGUUCCUGAUCGAAAGACAGUAAUCUCCGGCGGUGAUGGGAUGGAGCUGUGGCCGAGAAAGGUUGCUACCGCUAGGUUUUUGAUUGAAGACAUGAAAGUGGUGAAAAAGGCAGUUGCUAAUGCGACCAUUAAUGACGUCCUUUUUGGGGUGAUAUCAGCUGGAUUAUCAACAUACUUGGAUCAUCGAUCACCAAAUACUCUAAAAGAGGGCCAGCAACUAACAGGAGUAGCAAUGGUUAAUUUAAGAAAGCAAACAGGAUUGCAAGAUCCAGCCAAGAUGAUGGAAAGCAAUUCCACAUGUCGUUGGGGCAACAAGUUUGGCAUGCUCCUAUUGCCUACUUAUUACCAUAAAGUUGAACCUCUUGAGCAUGUGAAGAGAGCUAAGGUAAUGAUAGACAGGAAGAAGCAGACAUUAGAGGCUCACUUCUCGUACCAAAUUGGGGAUUUAGCAAUGUCAUUGCUGGGACCAAAGGUCGCUAGCUUGCUUAACUACAGAAUUCUUUGUAACACUACAUUUACGAUCUCAAACGUGGUCGGACCGAAAGAGGAGAUAACCAUAGCAGGCAACCCUAUAACAUUCAUAAGGGUUAACACAUCUAGCUUACCCCAAGUACUGCCUUCAAACUCAAAAGUUUCCAAUUUACUUUAUUUUUGUUGCUGAUGUUGCCAAUUUUUACUAUGUUUGUCACACAGGCAUUGACAAUGCACAUGGUGAGCUAUGCAGGGAGAGCUGAAAUGCAAAUUCUGGUAGCCAAAGAUAUUAUUCCGGACCCAGAAUUUCUUGCUAAGUGCUUCCAAGAUUCCUUGCUGGAAAUGAAGGAAGCAGCUGUAGCCAGUUCAUGAAAUGUAGGAGAGAAAACAUAGUAAUUCUUUUCCAUUUUGUCUGAUAAGUUUAUGAGCACAUUGAUUUCAUCAUGCAGCAAAAUUUAUUUUUCAAAUUGUAAACUGAAUUUACUGUAACAUUUUUAUAGAAAUAAAACAUAAUUGACGUACGUGGAUGAAAUCAAAUAAGA
rnacentral:misc_RNA from 1 species